rnacentral:rRNA from 1 species
GACGAACGCUGGCGGCGUGCUUAACACAUGCAAGUCGAACGGGAUCCAUGUUGUAGCAAUACUUCGGAAGAUCUAGUGGCGAACGGGUGAGGAACACGUGAGAAACCUGCCCCGAACUUCGGGAUAACAGUUGGAAACGACUGCUAAUACCGAAUACCUCUGCGAAGUGGCAUCACUUUGCAAAGAAAGAAUUUCGGUUCGGGAGGGUCUCGCGGCCUAUCAGCUAGUUGGUGGGGUAACGGCCUACCAAGGCAUCGACGGGUAGCUGGUCUGAGAGGAUGAUCAGCCACACUGGGACUGAGACACGGCCCAGACUCCUACGGGAGGCAGCAGUGGGGAAUCUUGUGCAAUGGGCGAAAGCCUGACACAGCAACGCCGCGUGCGGGAAGAAGGCCUUCGGGUCGUAAACCGCUUCCAGCAGGAACGAAAAUGACGGUACCUGCAGAAGAAGGUGCGGCCAACUACGUGCCAGCCGCCGCCGUAA